GGAUGCGAUCAUACCAGCACUAAAGCGCCGGAUCCCAUCAGAACUCCGAAGUUAAGCAUGCUUGGGCGAGAGUAGUACUAGGAUGGGUGACCUCCUGGGAAGUCCUCGUGUUGCAUUCC
rnacentral:rRNA from 1 species